rnacentral:rRNA from 1 species
AGUGAACGCUGGCGGUAGGCCUAACACAUGCAAGUCGAACGGCAGCACAGUAAGAGCUUGCUCUUACGGGUGGCGAGUGGCGGACGGGUGAGGAAUACAUCGGAAUCUACUUUUUCGUGGGGGAUAACGUAGGGAAACUUACGCUAAUACCGCAUACGACCUACGGGUGAAAGCAGGGGAUCUUCGGACCUUGCGCGAUUGAAUGAGCCGAUGUCGGAUUAGCUAGUUGGCGGGGUAAAGGCCCACCAAGGCGACGAUCCGUAGCUGGUCUGAGAGGAUGAUCAGCCACACUGGAACUGAGACACGGUCCCGACUCCUACGGGAGGCAGCAGUGGGGAAUAUUGGACAAUGGGCGCAAGCCUGAUCCAGCCAUACCGCGUGGGUUAAGAAGGCCUUCGGGUUGUAAAGCCCUUUUGUUGGGAAAGAAAAGCAGCAGGUUAAUACCCCGCUGUUCUGACGGUACCCAAAGAAUAAGCACCGGCUAACUUCGUG